UCCCUGGUGAUCCAGUGGUUAGGAUUCUGCACUUUCAUUGCUGAGGGUGUGGGUUCAAUCCCUGGUUGGGGAA
rnacentral:tRNA from 1 species